rnacentral:rRNA from 1 species
UUGACUGUGCUAAGGUAGCAUAAUAAAUUGGCUUUUAAUUGAAGUCGGGAAUGAAAGGGUGUUUGGAGUUAUUCUGUCUUAUUUUUAUUUUUUAAAAAUUACUAAUGAGAUGAAAAUUUCUCAAUGUUUUAUGAUAGACGAGAAGACCCUAAGAAUUAUUACAACUAUUAAAUUGAAUUAAUAAAAGUUUUUGUUGGGGCAACAGCUUUGAAUAACCAAAGUUAAAAUUUACUAUAAGAAGAUUAUAUUAAAAACGGAUUUAAUUACCUUAGGGAUAACAGCAUAAUUAAAUUUUAGAUUGUGACCUCGAUGUUGGAUUAAGGCCU